AAGUCAUCUUGCGGAGGAACACCGUUUUCCUGUCAUUACACAGUAUAGUGCUAGGGGCCCUCGGGGCGCGUGCUGUAUCCUUGCGCCUUUCUGGGGGGCGACAGGUGCAUUUGCUUUGUUGUGAUUGUCACCGGUUUCCUUUCUGUUUUGCCAACACUCGGCAGGCAAAAAGUUGUAAUGAAAUGAAUGUCAAUAGCCGGCUGGCACACUGCAGCCGACCUUUCACACGGGAGAAGAUGGACUGACAGUAGCUGUUUUAUUUAGUUUCCGGGUGACAAGAGCCAAACGAACCAUGCUAGGUCUCAGUUUGACAGAUACAACUAACAUGUCCUUCCUUCUGCAGUCAACUCUUAAGGAAGUGCUUGGACAUGGCCUUUGUACCAUUCAGAUAAGCGCGUAUGAUCGCGUGAGAAAUGAGGAGGAGGGCACGAGAAGAAGCGCGCACAGAGAGGACGAGGUGGAGCGCGCGAGCUACAGGCCCGCUCGGCGCUCUCUCUCUCUCUCUCCCAGUGAGCUCGAGCGGAGUAACUGAGGAGGAUGGAGCAGGCUGUCAGUCUGUUCACUAUCACACUGUUCAAAUGACUGUAAAUGUUCCGCUGUCUGACACUUCACAUGCCGGUAAAUGAAAAGCCCAGCGCAGAGUCACAGCCCUCAUCCUCUCUUAAGAGUUUUUCUCACACCUGGGUUGAUUCUGCUCUUUCAGGAGUGUAUCGUUAAUCUUUGCUAUAUUUCUUUGCGUUAUAACAGACACUCUGAAAUAAGAACUUUUUUCUCACCAAAUAAUGGGCGAAUUGUUCAAUAAUUUUCAGUACAUAUUUCCGUUUUCUUUUCAAACAUAAAUCGGAUGUCAUUGUCGCUGAUUAGCUUUUUUUCUUAUUCUCACGAGUCCCUUCUAUUCGGUUCUGAAUGGCUUUUCUUUUCGUGCAAAAUAAUAACAAUAUAAUAAUAAUAAUAAUAAUAAUAAUAAUAAUGAUACCUUCAAAUCACCAAAUGACUUGUGCAAAAGAACAAACUAAAUUAACCAUAAUGAUUCACAGUGUGUUUUUAUUUUUAUCUUUCUUUUUGUUAAAUUAAAUUUCACCAAAAAAAAUAUUUAAAUCAUGUAGUGCAGUGUAGUCUUGGUGAGGCAAAAUUUUGUGUAAUGCAAAAAAAUUGAAUAGCUGAGUUUCCACAUUUUCAACAGUGAUGCAUCAGUGCUCCCCGCUCUUGUUUGGCAGAAAUACCCUCAGAUCUUCAUGUGUUUAUUUGACUUACUUACUUGGCUUCAUUUGAUUUCCGUUUAACUUUUGCUGCUGACACUGUGAAGGAGUGAGAGCAAAUAUACAGAAAAGCAAAAUUAAACAAUGGAAGAGGUGCUCAACUUAAACAGCUUCACUCAGGAUGUGGCGAAUGUGUUGAUGUACGGUGUGAACAUGAUGUGAACAUUUCUAGCCAACCCCUAAAGCGACAGGGCUACCAUCAUAUCAGUGUUGAACAUGUUUCAGUUGUUGCAUAAAAAUUAGAUAGUGUCUAAAUGGCUUUUUUCUUUUUCUUUUUCCAUUUUUAAAUUCUACUUCUGUAGUAAAGUCAGUGAGGCAAAGGAAAAGCUAACCCUCUAACAAGUUGGGUUUUUUUGAGACAGAUGGGACACAAAAAGGACUUCACAAGCAGCAUCACUUCUCAAAAACCACUGCAAAAUCUAAAAGCGAAGCACAAGGAUAAGAUAAUUGAAUUAGAUAAAAACAACUCAUCAGCAAUCAAACACAAACAGUAAGAGUACAUACAUACGGCCUAAGCAAAAAAGACAUACAUAUAGUAGAAACUGCAAACGAUACAGUACACUUAUAAUGCUCUGCUGAAGUUAAAGGAUAUGAAUGAGAACAGAAAAAAUAACUAAGUGUAACUAAGUUACU